CCUACGGGAGGCAGCAGUGGGGAAUCUUGGACAAUGGGGGCAACCCUGAUCCAGCCAUGCCGCGUGAGUGACGAAGGCCCUAGGGUCGUAAAGCUCUUUCAGCUGUGAAGAUAAUGACGGUAGCAGCAGAAGAAACCCCGGCUAACUCCGUGCCAGCAGCCGCGGUAAUACGGAGGGGGUUAGCGUUGUUCGGAAUUACUGGGCGUAAAGCGCGCGUAGGCGGACUGUUAAGUCAGAGGUGAAAUCCCGGGGCUCAACCCCGGAACUGCCUUUGAUACUGGCAGUCUCGAGUUCUGGAGAGGUGAGUGGAAUUCCGAGUGUAGAGGUGAAAUUCGUAGAUAUUCGGAGGAACACCAGUGGCGAAGGCGGCUCACUGGCCAGACACUGACGCUGAGGCGCGAAAGCGUGGGGAGCAAACAGGA
rnacentral:rRNA from 1 species